rnacentral:misc_RNA from 1 species
UGGUUCUGGCAUCGAUGAAGAACGCAGCGAAAUGCGAUAAGUAAUGUGAAUUGCAGAAUUCAGUGAAUCAUCGGAUCUUUGAACGCACAUUGCGCCCGCCAGCAUUCUGGCGGGCAUGCCUGUUCGAGCGUCAUUUCAACCCUCAAGCACCGCUUGGUUUUGGGGCCCCACGGUCGACGUGGGCCCUUAAAGGUAGUGGCGGACCCUCCCGGAGCCUCCUUUGCGUAGUAACUAACGUCUCGCACUGGGAUUCGGAGGGACCCUUGCCGUAAAACCCCCAAUUUUUUACAGGUUGACCUCGGAUCAGGUAGGAAUACCCGCUGA